AACUGAUAUUUACCGCUUGCGACGAAAAAUCUAAACAGAUGAUACGUCAUGAUUCUAGCGGGCCAGUCCCGUUUCAUCGCGUCUUCUUUUUGAUUAAACUUCACCAAUGAAAUUAAUUUUUAUCGACUUCGGACAAAGUAAUAUGUAUUCGGUUCUGUUGACUUCCAUCUUUAUUUCUGUAAAUAUUUAAAUUACUCAUCUUCUUCGAAACUGCGACUGAGAAUAUUCGAAUAAUGGGAUAUCUGAAUGUCCAGAUAACGAUGUCACCUAGUAUUCGUAAUUCGGUUGUCACCCAUAUGUGGGUGACAGUGCUUUUCACCGAAGAACUAAAAACAUUACUUCUGAAAGUCGCGCAUCAAAGAAAGUGAAUUUAAAUGAAAUUCAUGAAUUUUUAUAAAGUUAUAAAACUAAAUGUCACGAUAGAUGUCUGAUUAUGUUGUCUCCGAUGAUCUAAAUAAUAUUUAAUCCUAGCAGACAUUUUCAAGAAUAUUUGUUUGGCAAUCAAAGUGUUAAUUCAUUUACAGCUACGAAACUGGAUAAAUUACAGUUACAUUUUGCAAUCGAAUCUGUCAAUGGUUAAUCAGGUUAGUUUAUGCCUAACUCUGGUUUAGAUACAUUGGUAAACAAGCGUCAAUCGGGUACGAACGCCAAUCCGCGUAAACCAGUUAAUCGGGGAAACCCCUUCCGAUACGGCCUUCGUCUCGUAAUAUACGGUUUCUUCCCGCGCGAAUAACCUUAAGAAUACAACAGUCGGAAGAAACCAGCAUUGAAACAAAAAUCUGUUAUGAACGCAUUGGAUUGUCCUCGUCUAUUAUGGUGAUCAUCCAACUCAUUGCUAUCGCAUGCAUUAAAACGUGUAGCUAAAUAAGAAACAGACGUUUUAACGCGAUCUCUUCUUGCAUCGGUUAUCGCAAUUCUACGCACUUCUACCAGACCUGGGUAUAUUUUAAUUGAAAUGAAAAUAAGAGAAAACUAUUCGAGAUAAUUUAGCGUUAUUUUCGAAACAAUUAUUUGAAAAUAAAAAUAGUAUCGAUUCAUUUGAAAUAAUAGCUAUCUCAAUCGAAUUCUUUCAUUAUUUUUUACUUCAAAUGUGGCGAAAGAAAUAAUCUUUAAAAUAAUAUGCAACAAAAAGAAUUUCCUUUUAAGAAAUCUUUUCAGUAACUUGCUUCGAGCAAAAUUCUUUCUUCAAAAAUUCAUCUGUAACAGAUUGUUGUCUGGAAUCGUUUACUAUAAUAUCGCUUUAAGAGAAUACUUUGGAAGAGAUAUACUUCAGAAGAAACGUCUCUUAUAAUCGGAUAAUUAUUUAACAUAGACAGGUCAAUCUACUAAUUUUAUCUUGUAAAUGUCGAUACAUUUAUUUCUUCUCGAGUUUGAAUAACAAAUAUGGAAUAGUUUGCUAUUUCAUCUUCCACAUUUUUAUACCUACAAAGAUUGAUUUCAAAUAUUUCAAGCUUUUGACUUAUUUUUUGCUUGUUUUAAGUGUUACUUCACAAGGCUGGAUAUAUUCACUAAAUGGGUUUUGUCAAUUCUGUCUUGCGACCACUGUUGCGUGUCUUUUUUCUUUUACUUUCUUCAUUCCUUUAAAUACGCUACUCCUUCUCAAAACAGACGCAAACAGUGGUUCUUCAUUUUUUACAAAGGCCAUAAUAUUUUACGAGUUUCCUGAAAUGCAACGUCAUCCUUUGGGAAUCAAUUUUUCCGUUUCGUAAAUUGUGAAUUAUACAUACAUUCUUCCGAGCUGGAUACCGCAACGGUUCGGCCCUCGACGAGCACACGAAGUGACGCCGCAGGGACGCAAAAUAAAAAAGAACGACAGCCACGUACACUGUAUUACUAUCUACGAUUUUCUACUCUCGAACGUUCAAAAAAAUGGAUACAUUAUUCCUUGCUAAUCCUUCAAGUUUUAGACAUAAACAAGUUUACGCAUAGAUGUUAAAUCUGUGCCUUCAUAAUUUAUUUCAUUCCUAUCUCGUUUCAUUGAGUGUGAAUUCAUCGAAUAUAGGAUAAAGCACUAAGCAGAUAAAUAAUAUACGCGAGCUUGAUAAGUUACUCUAACAGGCAAAAAGCAACAAAAAUAUCGUUUAUUUUUUAGAAUAACACACUUAUGUUGAAAAUCUGAAUAAAAUUCAGGAAAUCAGUAACAGUACUAUUUAUUUACUGUAAAAAUAUAAUUUUAGUAGUCUGACGAUUUUAGUACAAAGUUUUUGACCUUCUCCAGUUCUUUUUAUUUUUCAUAACAUAGAUUUUUAUCGAGAAAAUAAUUCCGUUUAAGUUGAAGUUAUAAAUUCUUAAAUCUAAAAGCACAGAAUUAAUUUCUACACUCAAUAUUUUUCUCAAUUAUUAAUAUAUGAAAAUGGAAAAUUGCCGAAUGGUCUCCGCUAGUCAUGAGAACGGUUAUUCUUAGGUUCAUCGUGCUAUUUUUCAAGAAAACCGACAAAAAUCCUUUUCGACCUUAUUUUUUUGUUUGCCUUGCGCUUCGAAUUGCUCAAGAAAUACUAGUACCGUCGAUAGAGAAAUUGUAAUGCUUGACUGAUGUAUUAGAAGGGUCUCUGCUAAUAUUCAGAAUGAUUAAUCGCGGGGUCAGUUGUGCUACUUUUCGAGAAAGUCGACACAAAUCCUUCAGAUGUAUUGUUCAGGCGACACUUGUCGAAGUUUUUCUGAAUCCUUAAACGUGUUGAUCCGGAUUUCUGAAAGGAUGCUACAUGAAUAAACUGAUCACUGAAUUUAAACUAAUCGAAUAAACUAGUUGACAAACCAACCUUUACUUAAUUUCGCACAUAUGUAUACAUACAUGUUGAGUGCAUAUUAACUAGAGAACAGCUCAUAUCUCAAAAAUUUUUGUUUGAAUUGAAUUGAAAAAAUUACUAAAGGUAUUUUAAAACAUACCUAAAACAUUCUUAAAGUUAAAGAGAAAUUAGGAAAAUUUUUCUCGAUAAAAAAAAUUAACGAAAAACACUUAAUAUAUUUAUUUGGCCUUCUAAUGUGGUUUCCCCAAUUUAGCGUAUCUGCAAUCACAUUUUUGUUUUGUAUAGAAAAAUGUUUCUCCUUCUGUAAAAUUGUAUUAUUUUGUUUCACAAUGUCAUCGAUUCGUCAAUGUUUAAUAUCUUGUUCUCUUUGGUGGUCUACUCAUACUGAAAACAGGAAACAACACCAGUUUUUUUAUUGAUACGGAUCAAUAGAAUUUUAAAUAUCAAGGACGACUGAACAGCGUGUUUCUUUUCAUUCGUGUACAUCGAAUAAGAUAUUUAUUCGAAGAAUUAAUAUUUCUUGAUGAAACAAGUAUACAUUUUAUUAAAAUGUAUCUUCGAAUGAAUUUUUAAUAAUAUUUGGAAAAAGUAUUAUUUAUGAUGUUCGAGUAAAAAGAAACUCAGUAAAAUUGUUCAUAUUUUUCUCUCUUCAUAGACUCGACUAUAGCUAAGAACCAGAACUGCGCCAGUGUUUUUGUUGCGAAUCAAUAGAAUAUGAAAUAUCAAGGUCUUAUAAACAGCGUAGUUUUCUUCAUCUACGCACUUCGGCCGAUAUAUCUGUUAAAAAAAUUAAUAUUUCUUUAUGGAAUAAGGAUUCUCGUUAAAAUAUAUAUUCAAAUGAAUAUGCAGUGUUUGAAGAAAAGUAUUAUUAAUAGCGGUCGAGUAAAAAUUUCAGUAAAUAACGAAUCCUUUCUAAAGUAGAAAACCCUUUUAAGGAACGCAACACCCGGUGAUUAUUUAUGUAGCAAAAAAUUUAUAUUGUCGUUUUAAGCUUAGUUCGCAAAUGAAACACUGGCAAAGGACAUUUAUGCAUGCGACUUCGGAGGAUUUUGAAAUUCAACUGAAUGGAAAUGUCAUCUCGAGUUCAAGGAAUAGUGAAUUCUUUCUAUGUAAAGUUCUUUAAAUGGAAAAAAAAACUAAACGAACAAAAGAACGGUGAAAAGUAUUAAUCGUUUAAAUUGUUUGAAUAAUCGCACUCCCUAAAACAAUAGUUGUCAAACAACUCUCAAAUUUUACCCUUCCAAGGAACGUGUUGUGUUAGCGUGCAAAAAAUUAAUUCCACGUAAUUGAACUUAUGACGUUCGUGAAACAAUGGCUGCCGACCUUAACAUCUCCAGGUAUUUGACGUCAUCCGUAACACGUGCUUUCUACAAUGGACCAAGUAAACAUAAGAUAAAGUCACUUUACAUCAUUAACCUAAGAUUCUUCGAAGCGUAGAUGCCAUUUAACCGUAAAUAAAGAUUAUCAUUACUUUUUAUAAAGCUGGGGCGAAUGACGCUUGAAAUGUGCGUGGCGCCUUCCUUUUAGUCUGUUUCCGGAGAUAAACAAGAGACAAAAAAAAAAGAGGAAUCCCAAACGGAGUAGUUCCAACAUCAUGAUCAUUUGAGAAGAAGGGGAUGUACCGAGGAUAAAAAAAACCAUAAACUGAAAGUGGUUUACUUGAGUUCCUUUCACACGAAUCGUUGCUCAUGGUACUGAUGCUACAAGGCCGUCUGUACCUUCAAUAUGGAUUAACAUAAUUUUAUAAAAACUGACAAACAUGUUAUCCUUAGUAUGUACAUUAAUUUCAAUCAAAGGGUUUUUCACUAGUGAUUUUAGGUCUUAUUCAUUAAUAGAAAACAAACGAUACCUAUGGAUUUUAUCCGAUUGUUUUAUUUUAAAUUAAAAAUUAAUUAUACACCACGAAAAGUAGUAAAGAAAUAUUUGACAAUAAAGAGCUAGCAUAGAUUCAGCAACAGAGCAAUACAAACGGUGGGCAAAAUUUGCGGACUUUCUUUCUGUUCGAAGCACUUAAAAUUCUAGUGAAAGUUGAACAGACGAAAGUUUUUGAGGAAAGUUCUUCUGAUCAUCAUGCAUAUUCGUAUUAAUCAAUGAAACGAUAACAAUUUUGGAAACAUUCUUCCGUUGGCCUCGUUUGAUACAACUUUACGAAUAAUCAAGUGUUGUUGCUGCAACUUUGAACUUAAACUUAAAUAAAAAUUCCAGAAAGAAAUAGAAAGAAAUUUUAAAGAAGUGUGUAUCUUUAUUUAGAAAACAAGCAAACACUAUACGGUGCGAUUUCGAUGAUUCGUUGAUAUUACUUGACCUUAAAAAUGAACAUUUUUACAUGUUUGUCAUGGAUUUAAGAAAAGUCAAAUCGAAAGAUAUAUCAUUUGCCUUGAAUGUAAAAUUUCAAUUAAUGAAAAUAUUCUGUUCGAUUCUUUUCCAAUAUAAAUAUGUUUUAAAUAUUCAAAUUAAAUGUUACAUUGGCUUGCUGUUAUUUCGUAAGAAUGGUGCAUAAUAAAUUAAACUCACUCGUACUCGUUCAAUGAAAAUAUGCUAAAUAAAUUCAGUUCCGCGCCUCGUACGAAUUUUAUUCAAAUAGACGUGUAAAUCAGUUACUAUAGGAAAAGGGAAAGAUUUAAAAUUUCUUAAAGAUACACAUUAUAAGUAUAUUCGCCUUUCGAUGAUAACUAAUUGUCUUUUCUUUAAGAAAGUUAUCGACCCAGUUUGUAAACAAUUAUUUAGUGACUUGGGAAUAAUAUAAUAGAACGAUGUGUAUAUUCUGCAGUUUUCAAAUGUAUGACUUGCAAAUACAUAUUGACAAAUAACUAUUACUUUAUUUAUAUAAUUUAUACAUAUAGAUGUAGAUAUACAUGUAUAUUCCUUGCUAUUUUAUCGAUUCUAAACUUUAGAGAUGCUUUAAUGAUUUGGAAAGAAUAAGAUAGGAAGAUAUUCAUGUAUGUAAAUAAAUAAUUUAUAAAUACAUAAUAUAUAAAUACACGUAUAUAAAUAAGUAAUCAUUGUAGGGUUUGUUCAUCAUUUUUUUUAAGUAUAAUUUACAAGUACAUAUUGACAAAUAACUUUUGUUUUAUUUGUUAUAAUUCAUCUAGAUCGAGAUGUAACAAAAAUAAAGUUGAACCGUAUAAUAAAGUUAAUUUCCAUAACAUAUUAAUAU